rnacentral:rRNA from 1 species
UACGUAGGGGGCAAGCGUUGUCCGGAUUUAUUGGGCGUAAAGAGCGUGUAGGCGGCCGUACAGGUCAGCUGUGAAAACUCGAGGCUCAACCUCGAGACGUCGGUUGAAACCGUACGGCUAGAGUCCGGAAGAGGAGAGUGGAAUUCCCGGUGUAGCGGUGAAAUGCGCAGAUAUCGGGAAGAACACCCGCGGCGAAGGCGGCUCUCUGGGACGGUACUGACGCUGAGACGCGAAAGCGUGGGGAGCGAACAGG